UGAGGAACAUGACCUUCGGCGGGGGAGUAGCCGGCCCAACGGCCGGGUAAUACCGCGUACGACCACUUUGGGACAUCCCUCGGUGGUGAAAGCAGCAAUGCGCCGAUGGAGUGCCUCGCGGCCUAUCAGCUAGUUGGUGAGGUAACGGCUCACCAAGGCAACGAUCCGUAGCUGGUCUGAGAGGAUGAUCAGCCACACUGGGACUGAGACACGGCCCAGACCUNUACGGGAGG
rnacentral:rRNA from 1 species